rnacentral:rRNA from 2 species
AGGUGCGAUCAUACCUGGACUAGCAGUAAUGCACUGAAUCCCAUCAGAUCUCCGCAGUUAAGUGUGCUUGGGCGAGAGUAGUACUAGGGUGGGUGACCUCCUUGGAAGUACUCGUGUUGCACCUC